UGAUGGGAAGUCAACUAAUGAAAACCCAUACCCCACAUUGUUUCCUACAACAACUUCAAAGAACCCAUCAAAUCUAGAAGCACGGGGUCGAUCGACAAACGAAACAGUGGGAAUUCCGAAAAACCAUCUAAUAUUACUUGUGCCUUCACAUCGCAGUCGGAUAGUUAUGAACUUCAUGCAAGUUCAAGUGAAAUGGAUAUUGACUUCCAGACUCCACCUGUAGUCAGUGAAGAAGUCGUUGUAACUGCCUCCGACUCUGUGUCAGAAAGUGCAGGAAUGCAACAUUCUGGUAUGCCUGAUCAUGAUUAUUUAGCAACUUCUGCACAAAUUACAAGGGAAACAGCUGACAUUGGAGUUCAGACAGAUCUUGGCAUGUAGGAAAUGACAGAGCUCCUAGGACUGAAGACCAAGUCCCAGAACCCUGAUGCUGUUAUGAGGGAGUUAUUUGUCCAGAAAGUGACUUCCAGUGACAGGAAUGUUCAACAAUAUACUGGUGUCUUAAAUUUUUAAGACAUAUCGAGUGUAAACUGUCACAUUUUUGUCCAAACUGU